rnacentral:rRNA from 1 species
UACAGAGGGUGCAAGCGUUAAUCGGAUUUACUGGGCGUAAAGCGUGCGUAGGUGGCUCGCCAAGUCGAUUGUGAAAGCCCUGGGCUCAACCUGGGAAUUGCAGUCGAUACUGGUGAACUAGAGUUCGGUAGAGGGGGACGGAAUUCCCGGUGUAGCGGUGAAAUGCGCAGAUAUCGGGAGGAACACCAAUGGCGAAGGCAGCUCGCUGGGACGUUACUGACGCUGAGACGCGAAAGCGUGGGGAGCAAACAGG